UGGGGAAUUUUGGACAAUGGGCGAAAGCCUGAUCCAGCAAUGCCGCGUGUGUGAAGAAGGCCUUCGGGUUGUAAAGCACUUUUGUCCGGAAAGAAAUCCUUGGCUCUAAUACAGUCGGGGGAUGACGGUACCGGAAGAAUAAGCACCGGCUAACUACGUGCCAGCAGCCGCGGUAAUACGUAGGGUGCAAGCGUUAAUCGGAAUUACUGGGCGUAAAGCGUGCGCAGGCGGUUUGCUAAGACCGAUGUGAAAUCCCCGGGCUCAACCUGGGAACUGCAUUGGUGACUGGCAGGCUAGAGUAUGGCAGAGGGGGGUAGAAUUCCACGUGUAGCAGUGAAAUGCGUAGAGAUGUGGAGGAAUACCGAUGGCGAAGGCAGCCCCCUGGGCCAAAUACUGACGCUCAUGCACGAAAGCGUGGGGAGCAAACAGGAUUAGAUACCCUGGUAGUCCACGCCCUAAAACGAUGUCAACUAGUUGUUGGGGAUUCAUUUCCUAGUAACGUAGCUAACGCGUGAAGUUGACCGCCUGGGGGGUACGGUCGCAAGAUUAAAACUCAAAGGAAUUGACGGGGUCAUAGCUGUUUCCU
rnacentral:rRNA from 1 species